GCGUCGGAACGCACCGAGUAAUGGGGGAUAACGCAGCGAAAGUUGUGCUAAUACCGCAUACGCUCCGAGGAGGAAAGCGGGGGAUCUUAGGACCUCGCGUUAUUCGAGCGGCCGACGUCUGAUUAGCUAGUUGGUGGGGAAAGGUCCCACCAAGGGCCAACGAUCAGUAGCGGGUCUGAGAGGAUGAUCCGCCACACUGGGACUGAGACACGGCCCAGACUCCUACGGGAGGCAGCAGUGGGGAAUUUUGGACAAUGGGCGCAAGCCUGAUCCAGCCAUGCCGCGUGUCUGAAGAAGGCCUUCGGGUUGUAAAGGACUUUUUGUCAGGGAGCAAAUGCUGGUGGCUAAUACCCACCGGAGCUGAGAGUACCUGAAGAAUAAGCACCGGCUAACUACGUGCCAGCAGCCGCGGUAAUACGUAGGUGCAAGCGUUAAUCGGGAAUUACUGGCGUAAAGCGUGCGCAGCCGGUGUGCAAGUCUGAU
rnacentral:rRNA from 1 species